GGUCAGUUAACUCAGUUGGUUAGAGUGUGGUGCUAAUAACGCCAAGGUCAUGGGCUCGAUCCCCAUGCUGACCA